GACGUAGGGCGCGAGCGUUGUCCGGAUUUAUUGGGCGUAAAGAGCGUGUAGGCGGCCUGGUAGGUCAGCUGUGAAAACUCGAGGCUCAACCUCGAGACGCCGGUUGAAACCAUCAGGCUAGAGUCCGGAAGAGGAGGAGUGGAAUUCCCGGUGUAGCGGUGAAAUGCGCAGAUAUCGGGAAGAACACCCGUGGCUAAGGCGGCUCUCUAGUACGGUACUGACGCUGAGACGCGAAAAGCGUGGGGGAGCGAAACAGG
rnacentral:rRNA from 1 species